rnacentral:rRNA from 1 species
UAGGGAAUCUUCCACAAUGGACGCAAGUCUGAUGGAGCAACGCCGCGUGAGUGAAGAAGGCUUUCGGAUCGUAAAGCUCUGUUGUUGGUGAAGAAGGAUAGAGGCAGUAACUGGUCUUUAUUUGACGGUAAUCAACCAGAAAGUCACGGCUAACUACGUGCCAGCAGCCGCGGUAAUACGUAGGUGGCAAGCGUUGUCCGGAUUUAUUGGGCGUAAAGCGAGCGCAGGCGGAAUGAUAAGUCUGAUGUGAAAGCCCACGGCUCAACCGGGGAACUGCAUCGGAAACUGUCAUUCUUGAGUGCAGCAGAGGAGAGUGGAAUUCCAUGUGUAGCGGUGGAAUGCGUAGAUAUAUGGAAGAACACCAGUGGCGAAGGCGGCUCUCUGGUCUGCAACUGACGCUGAGGCUCGAAAGCAUGGGUAGCGAACAGG